AAAUGUGGGUGAUGAGAAAUCUCAAUAGAAAACAGUUAUCCCUGUCUGAGAAUUCAUCAUAUUGGGGCUGAAAACCUUCAAUCUGACACAUUU